rnacentral:rRNA from 1 species
AGAACGAACGCUGGCGGCGUGCCUAACACAUGCAAGUCCAACGUGAAAGGGGAGCAAUCCCCCGGUAGGGUGGCAAACGGGUGAGUAAUACAUGGGUGAUCUACCUUAGGGAUGGGGAUAUCCUUCCGAAAGGAGGGGCAAUACCGAAUAUUGUCCGGAGCCGUGAAGGGUUCCGGGGAAAGGGAGGCCUCUGAUACAAGCUUUCGCCUUAAGAUGAGCCCAUGGCCCAUCAGCUAGUUGGUAGGGUAAAGGCCUACCAAGGCUACGACGGGUCGCUGGUCUGAGAGGACGACCAGCCACACUGGCACUGAGAUACGGGCCAGACUCCUACGGGAGGCAGCAGUGAGGAAUAUUGCGCAAUGGGGGAACCCUGACGCAGCAACGCCGCGUGUGGGAAGAAGGCCUUCGGGUCGUAAACCACUUUUGCACGGGACGAAAAAGGGAUAUCGAACAAAUAUCCCCGAUGACGGUACCGUGAGAAUAAGCCACGGCUAACUCUGUGCCAGCAGCCGCGGUAAGACAGAGGUGGCAAGCGUUGUUCGGAAUUACUGGGCGUAAAGAGUCUGUAGGUGGUUUGUCAAGUCUUUGGUGAAAGGCCGUAGCUUAACUAUGGGAAUGCCAAAGAGACUGGCAGGCUGGAGGCUGGGAGAGGGAAGCGGAAUUUCUGGUGU